rnacentral:RNase_P_RNA from 1 species
GAAGUUGACUAAACAGUCGCUGUUUAAUUUUUUAAAAAAAUUAAAAAGAGGAAAGUCCGGGCUCCAUAGAGCAGGGUGCCAGAUAACACCUGGAAAGCGUAAGCUUAUGACUAGUGCAACAGAAAAAAAACCACCUAUUUCUUUUUAUAGUAUUUAAUGUAAUUGAAAUACGGCCAGGGUGAAAAGGUGUGGUAAGAGCACACCGCAUAAUUGGUAACAAUUCAUGGCAUGGUAAACUUCCACCCGGAGCAAAGCCAAAUAUAGGAAAAUUUUUUUGUAUUGCUCGUACUAUGUAAACCUGGGUAGGCUGCUUGAAUUAGUAAGUGAUUGCUAAUCUAGAUGAAUGACUGUUUUAAACAGAACCCGGCUUAUAGGUCAACUUCAAUU